UACGGAGGGAGCUAGCGUUGUUCGGAAUUACUGGGCGUAAAGCGCACGUAGGCGGCUUUGUAAGUUAGAGGUGAAAGCCCCGGGGCUCAACUCCGGAACUGCCUUUAAGACUGCAUCGCUUGAAUCCGGGAGAGGUGAGUGGAACUGCGAGUGUAGAGGUGAAAUUCGUAGAUAUUCGCAAGAACACCAGUGGCGAAGGCGGCUCACUGGCCCGGUACUGACGCUGAGGUGCGAAAGCGUGGGGAGCAAACAGG
rnacentral:rRNA from 1 species